AAACGUAGGUGGCGAGCGUUGUCCGGAAUCACUGGGUGUAAAGGGCGUGUAGGCGGGGGUGCAAGUCAGGUGUGAAAGACCACGGCUCAACCGUGGGGUUGCACUUGAAACUGUAUCUCUUGAGUAUUGGAGAGGGAAGCGGAAUUCCUAGUGUAGCGGUGAAAUGCGUAGAGAUUAGGAGGAACACCAGUGGCGAAGGCGGCUUCCUGGCCAAAUACUGACGCUGAGGCGCGAAAGCGUGGGGAGCAAACAGGAUUAGAUACCCUGGUAGUCCACGCCGUAAACGAUGGAUACUAGGUGUAGGUGGUAGUAAACCAUCUGUGCCGGAGUUAACACAAUAAGUAUCCCACCUGGGGAGUACGGCCGCAAGGUUGAA
rnacentral:rRNA from 1 species